rnacentral:rRNA from 1 species
GAGUUUGAUCCUGGCUCAGAACGUACGCUGGCGGCACGCCUAACACAUGCAAGUCGAACGAAGUAGCAAUACUUAGUGGCAGACGGGUGAGUAACAUGUAGGUAUCAACCCUUUGGCCUGGAAUAACACGAGGAAACUUGUGCUAAUACCGGAUAAGUCUUUACAGAGAAAGCUUUAUGCACCAUUGGAUGAGCCUGCACUUGAUUAGUUUGUUGGUAGGGUAAUGGCCUACCAAGACUGUGAUCAAUAGCUGAUUUGAGAGGAUGAUCAGCCACAUUGGGACUGAGACACGGCCCAAACUCCUACGGGAGGCAGCAGUGGGGAAUCUUGCACAAUGGAGGAAACUCUGAUGCAGCGAUGCCGCGUGAGUGAAGAAGGCCUUUGGGUUGUAAAGCUCUUUCGUCGGGGAAGAAAAUGACUGUACCCGAAUAAGAAGGUCCGGCUAACUUCGUGCCAGCAGCCGCGGUAAUACGAAGGGACCUAGCGUAGUUCGGAAUUACUGGGCUUAAAGAGUUCGUAGGUGGUUGAAAAAGUUGGUGGUGAAAUCCCAGAGCUUAACUCUGGAACUGCCAUCAAAACUUUUCAGCUAGAGUAUGAUAGAGGAAAGCAGAAUUUCUAGUGUAGAGGUGAAAUUCGUAGAUAUUAGAAAGAAUACCAAUUGCGAAGGCAGCUUUCUGGAUCAUUACUGACACUGAGGAACGAAAGCAUGGGUAGCGAAGAGGAUUAGAUACCCUCGUAGUCCAUGCCGUAAACGAUGUGUGUUAGACGUUGGAAAUUUAUUUUCAGUGUCGCAGCGAAAGCGAUAAACACACCGCCUGGGGAGUACGACCGCAAGGUUAAAACUCAAAUGAAUUGACGGGGACCCGCACAAGUAGUGGAGCAUGUGGUUUAAUUNGAAGAUACGCGCAGAACCUUACCAACACUUGACAUGUUCGUCGCGACUCUAAGAGAUUAGAGUUUUCGGUUCGGCCGGACGAAACACAGGUGCUGCAUGGCUGUCGUCAGCUCGUGUCGUGAGAUGUUGUGUUAAGUCCCGCAACGAGCGCAACCCUCACUUUUAGUUGCCAUCAUUAAGUUGGGCACUCUGAAAGAACUGCCAGUGAUAAGCUGGAGGAAGGUGGGGAUGACGUCAAGUCCUCAUGGCCCUUACGUGUUGGGCUACACACGUGCUACAAUGGUAUNUACAACAGGAAGCAAGACGGCGACGUCAAGCAAAUCCUUAAAAGAUACCUCAGUUCGGAUUGCACUCUGCAACUCGAGUGCAUGAAGCUGGAAUUACUAGUAAUCGUGGAUCAGCGUGCCACGGUGAAUGCGUUCCCGGGUCUUGUACUCACCGCCCGUC